ensembl:snRNA U1 U1 spliceosomal RNA
AUCCUCAAUAGGCAGGAAGGACACCAUGAUCAAGAAGGCAGUUCACCUAGGACGAGGCUCGUCCAUUGCACUCCGGCUGUGCUGAUCCCUGCGAAUUCCCCAAAUGUGGGAACCUCGACUGCAUAAUUUAUUUUUAC